rnacentral:rRNA from 1 species
GGGUUGUGAGGUUAAGCGACUAAGCGUACACGGUGGAUGCCCUGGCAGUCAGAGGCGAUGAAGGGCGUGCUAAUCUGCGAUAAGCGCCGGUAAGGUGAUAUGAACCGUUAUAACCGGCGAUACCCGAAUGGGGAAACCCAGUGUGAUUCGUCACACUAUCAUUAACUGAAUCCAUAGGUUAAUGAGGCGAACCGGGGGAACUGAAACAUCUAAGUACCCCGAGGAAAAGAAAUCAACCGAGAUUCCCCCAGUAGCGGCGAGCGAACGGGGAGGAGCCCAGAGCCUGAAUCAGCAUGUGUGUUAGUGGAAGCGUCUGGAAAGGCGCGCGAUACAGGGUGACAGCCCCGUACACAAAAGCGCAUGUGCUGUGAGCUCGAUGAGUAGGGCGGGACACGUGGUAUCCUGUCUGAAUAUGGGGGGACCAUCCUCCAAGGCUAAAUACUCCUGACUGACCGAUAGUGAACCAGUACCGUGAGGGAAAGGCGAAAAGAACCCCGGCGAGGGGAGUGAAAAAGAACCUGAAACCGUGUACGUACAAGCAGUGGGAGCCCCACCACUAAGCCAGUGGUGAACUCCACAUACGCAUCCUUUGCUGAGGAUACGGUUAACGGAGCGAAAGCGACGUUCAACCGCAAAAGAAGCAGAGGGGGCUUAGUGGUGGGGUGACUGCGUACCUUUUGUAUAAUGGGUCAGCGACUUAUAUUCUGUAGCAAGGUUAACCGUAUAGGGGAGCCGGAGGGAAACCGAGUCUUAAUUGGGCGUUAAGUUGCAGGGUAUAGACCCGAAACCCGGUGAUCUAGCCAUGGGCAGGUUGAAGGUUGGGUAACACUAACUGGAGGACCGAACCGACUAAUGUUGAAAAAUUAGCGGAUGACCUGUGGCUGGGGGUGAAAGGCCAAUCAAACCGGGAGAUAGCUGGUUCUCCCCGAAAGCUAUUUAGGUAGCGCCUCGUGAAUUCAUCUCCGGGGGUAGAGCACUGUUUCGGCUAGGGGGCCAUCCCGGCUUACCAACCCGAUGCAAACUGCGAAUACCGGAGAAUGUUAUCACGGGAGACACACGGCGGGUGCUAACGUCCGUCGUGAAGAGGGAAACAACCCAGACCGCCAGCUAAGGUCCCAAAGUCAUGGUUAAGUGGGAAACGAUGUGGGAAGGCCCAGACAGCCAGGAUGUUGGCUUAGAAGCAGCCAUCAUUUAAAGAAAGCGUAAUAGCUCACUGGUCGAGUCGGCCUGCGCGGAAGAUGUAACGGGGCUAAACCAUGCACCGAAGCUGCGGCAGCGAACGUAUCACCCAAGACAACUUUACGGAGUUGACGAUUGACGGAGCGAAGCGACGUCAAAGCGUUCAUUAAAGUCGAGUUGGCUUAGGGAUACGUUCGUUGGGUAGGGGAGCGUUCUGUAAGCCUGUGAAGGUGGCCUGUGAGGGUUGCUGGAGGUAUCAGAAGUGCGAAUGCUGACAUAAGUAACGAUAAAGCGGGUGAAAAGCCCGCUCGCCGGAAGACCAAGGGUUCCUGUCCAACGUUAAUCGGGGCAGGGUGAGUCGACCCCUAAGGCGAGGCCGAAAGGCGUAGUCGAUGGGAAACGGGUUAAUAUUCCCGUACUUGGUGUUACUGCGAAGGGGGGACGGAGAAGGCUAUGUUGGCCGGGCGACGGUUGUCCCGGUUUAAGCGUGUAGGUGUGUGUUCCAGGUAAAUCCGGUUCACUUUAACACUGAGGCGUGAUGACGAGGCACUACGGUGCUGAAGCAACAAAUGCCCUGCUUCCAGGAAAAGCCUCUAAGCAUCAGGUAACAUCAAAUCGUACCCCAAACCGACACAGGUGGUCAGGUAGAGAAUACCAAGGCGCUUGAGAGAACUCGGGUGAAGGAACUAGGCAAAAUGGUGCCGUAACUUCGGGAGAAGGCACGCUGACACGUAGGUGAAGUGAUUUACUCACGGAGCUGAAGUCAGUCGAAGAUACCAGCUGGCUGCAACUGUUUAUUAAAAACACAGCACUGUGCAAACACGAAAGUGGACGUAUACGGUGUGACGCCUGCCCGGUGCCGGAAGGUUAAUUGAUGGGGUCAGCGCAAGCGAAGCUCCUGAUCGAAGCCCCGGUAAACGGCGGCCGUAACUAUAACGGUCCUAAGGUAGCGAAAUUCCUUGUCGGGUAAGUUCCGACCUGCACGAAUGGCGUAAUGAUGGCCAGGCUGUCUCCACCCGAGACUCAGUGAAAUUGAACUCGCUGUGAAGAUGCAGUGUACCCGCGGCAAGACGGAAAGACCCCGUGAACCUUUACUAUAGCUUGACACUGAACAUUGAGCCUUGAUGUGUAGGAUAGGUGGGAGGCUUUGAAGUGUGGACGCCAGUCUGCAUGGAGCCGACCUUGAAAUACCACCCUUUAAUGUUUGAUGUUCUAACGUGGACCCGUGAUCCGGGUUGCGGACAGUGUCUGGUGGGUAGUUUGACUGGGGCGGUCUCCUCCUAAAGAGUAACGGAGGAGCACGAAGGUUGGCUAAUCCUGGUCGGACAUCAGGAGGUUAGUGCAAUGGCAUAAGCCAGCUUGACUGCGAGCGUGACGGCGCGAGCAGGUGCGAAAGCAGGUCAUAGUGAUCCGGUGGUUCUGAAUGGAAGGGCCAUCGCUCAACGGAUAAAAGGUACUCCGGGGAUAACAGGCUGAUACCGCCCAAGAGUUCAUAUCGACGGCGGUGUUUGGCACCUCGAUGUCGGCUCAUCACAUCCUGGGGCUGAAGUAGGUCCCAAGGGUAUGGCUGUUCGCCAUUUAAAGUGGUACGCGAGCUGGGUUUAGAACGUCGUGAGACAGUUCGGUCCCUAUCUGCCGUGGGCGCUGGAGAACUGAGGGGGGCUGCUCCUAGUACGAGAGGACCGGAGUGGACGCAUCACUGGUGUUCGGGUUGUCAUGCCAAUGGCACUGCCCGGUAGCUAAAUGCGGAAGAGAUAAGUGCUGAAAGCAUCUAAGCACGAAACUUGCCCCGAGAUGAGUUCUCCCUGAGACUUAGAGUCUCCUGAAGGAACGUUGAAGACGACGACGUUGAUAGGCCGGGUGUGUAAGCGCAGCGAUGCGUUGAGCUAACCGGUACUAAUGAACCGUGAGGCUUAACCUUACAACGCCG